rnacentral:pre_miRNA from 3 species
UGGUCUUUUGAGGCAAAGUUCUGAGACACUCCGACUCUGAAUAUGAUAGAAGUCAGUGCACUACAGAACUUUGUCUCUGGAGACUG